GAUGAACGCUAGCGGCAGGCUUAAUACAUGCAAGUCGAGGGGCAGCACGUUUCGCAGCAAUGCGGGAUGGUGGCGACCGGCAAACGGGUGAGGAGCGCGUACACAAUCUUCCCAGAUCAGGGGGAUAACCCGGGGAAACCCGGACUAAUACCCCGUAGUUUAAUUUUAAGGCAUCUUUGAGGUAAUAAAACUCCGGUUGCUUUGUAUGAGUGUGCGUCCCAUUUGGUAGUUGGCAGGGUAACGGCCUACCGAGCCUCCGAUGGGUAACUGAUGGGUGAGCACGACACGUCAGACGGGCACUGCGACACGGACCCGAAUCCUACGGGGGGGAGCAGUAAGGAAUACUGGGCAAUGGACGCAAGUCUGAACCAGCCAUGCCGCGUGAAGGAUGAAGGUCCUCUGGAUUGUAAACUUCUUUUAUAGGGGGCGAAAAAAGGGUUUUUUAACUCACUUGACGGUACCUUAUGAAUAAGCACCGGCUAACUCCGUG
rnacentral:rRNA from 1 species